AGGAACGCCCUCCAUCAAAGAGACGCGGGUCGGUUGCCAGGCUACCGUGAGAAAAGAGAACUCCCAGGGACAAUGCGACCUUCCCCCAGGGUCCAGGGGCUGGGCUUGCUCGGUACCGAAGUGCGUGGCGGACUGCAGGGCUCCAGCUCCCGGACGGGAAGGCACAGCCUCGCCGGGGCAAGCCAGAGCUGCCACCGAGGAACAAGCCCAAUGGGACUGGCAGCGAGGAAGGGAAAGGUCACCCAGAGGAAUCACUACUUAAAAGGCUAUGAAGUGUCAGCAGAACAAUAUGGAUCCUAUUACUGCUUCUGGGAAAAACAAUUGGUUCCAGGAGGUCAUGGCAAGCAGAGAUGCCCAAAGUGGCAUUUACUCCCUGCUUAUUUGGCCCACUAGGUAAGAAGUAGGGCUCUUCUUUGGCUGGCUCCUAAAAAACCUAACUAUGCCAGGCAAAGAAUGGUGGUCCUCUGCCAGCUAAUUCCUGGCUACUACUUGCUGUCUUUGGCUUCAGAUACUUCCUAUUUCUCCCCAGGCCACUGUACCUCUGAACUAGCAAAGUAUGAUUACAGUAAAUCUCAUCUUUUCAUAUUUAUGUGUUUUUAUGCUAGAAAGGUUUGAACAGAGACUUAUAUAGUCUCUGACAGUUCCCUAUCAGCUUCUAAUUGUAGAUAAUAAAAGAAUUUCCUGUGCCUCA
rnacentral:lncRNA from 1 species